ACUUGCGGCACUUUCUGACAAUUGUGUAUACUGCAACCUAAAAAGUCCAGAUGCAGGAAAAUUUUAACAGUGCUGCGAUGAUACGCCUUUAUAGAAUGUACCAGGUCGUACACAUCCCGUCAAAAUUUUCUAUAUGCAUUAAGGGUAAUGCGAUUACACCGAAGCAGCUACAUACGUACAAAUACCAAAGCCUAAUGUGCGAAGAUUAUGAAGUUAUGUAGGUGAUCUACAUAUGUAUAUAUUAAUGCAACAAGCAGAUCGAAUAGGAUCAUAAUGAUCGCUACAACAGCCACCGGCCUUAUAAAGCGGGGAGCGAUGAAAUUGUUGAUAAACACAGGAAAUUUAAAUGAUAUAAUGCCUGUUCUUGUAGCAAAUAAUUACAUAAAUUACUGGAAAUAUUUUAACUUGCAACAUAUUGCCAGUAAGAAAAACAGCUGAUCGCUUGUUGGUGGGUGCAAUUAAAACUAAUAAAGCAA